rnacentral:rRNA from 1 species
UACGUAGGGUGCAAGCGUUGUCCGGAAUUAUUGGGCGUAAAGAGCUUGUAGGCGGUUUGUCGCGUCUGCUGUGAAAUUUCGGGGCUCAACCCCGAACUUGCAGUGGGUACGGGCAGACUAGAGUGUGGUAGGGGAGACUGGAAUUCCUGGUGUAGCGGUGAAAUGCGCAGAUAUCAGGAGGAACACCGAUGGCGAAGGCGGCAUCCUGGACCGAGAUUGACGCUGAGGCGCGAAAGCCAGGGGAGCAAACGGG